GCGCAACCCUUGUCCUUAGUUACCUAGCACGUUAUGGUGGGCACUCUAAGGAGACUGCCGGUGACAAACCGGAGGAAGGUGGGGAUGACGUCAAGUCAUCAUGGCCCUUACGGCCUGGGCUACACACGUGCUACAAUGGUCGGUACAAAGGGUUGCCAAGCCGCGAGGUGGAGCUAAUCCCAUAAAACCGAUCGUAGUCCGGAUCGCAGUCUGCAACUCGACUGCGUGAAGUCGGAAUCGCUAGUAAUCGUGAAUCAGAAUGUCACGGUGAAUACGUUCCCGGGCCUU
rnacentral:rRNA from 1 species